rnacentral:rRNA from 1 species
AGUGAACGCUGGCGGCGUGCUUAACACAUGCAAGUCGAACGAGAACGGAAUAUAGCUUGCUAUAUUUGUCAGCUAAGUGGCGCACGGGCGAGUAAUGUAUAGAUAACCUGCCCUUAAGAAAGGAAUAACAGUUGGAAACGACUGCUAAUGCCCUAUAUGCCUUUAAUACAUAAGUAUGCAAGGGAAACGCUUUAGUGCUUAAGGAUGGGUCUGUAUGGAAUCAGCUUGUUGGUGAGGUAAUGGCUCACCAAGGCUAUGACGCCUAACUGGUUUGAGAGGAUGAUCAGUCACACUGGAACUGAGACACGGUCCAGACUCCUACGGGAGGCAGCAGUGGGGAAUAUUGCACAAUGGACGAAAGUCUGAUGCAGCAACGCCGCGUGGAGGAUGACACAUUUCGGUGCGUAAACUCCUUUUAUAUAGGAAGAUAAUGACGGUACUAUAUGAAUAAGCACCGGCUAACUCCGUGCCAGCAGCCGCAGUAA